rnacentral:tRNA from 1 species
GAGCCUGUAGCUCAGCCUGGUUUAGAGCACCGCUCUUAUAAGAGCUUGUUUCGUUAGGAACAUGUUUUCAUAGUUUAAUACUAAGAAAGGCGGGGGUCCACGGUUCAAAUCCGUGCAGGCUCA